UACGUAGGUGGCAAGCGUUGUCCGGAUUUAUUGGGUUUAAAGGGCGCGUAGGCGGCCUGUCAAGUCAACUGUGAAAUCUCCGGGCUUAACUCGGAACGGUCAGUUGAUACUGUCAGGCUAGAGUGCAGAAGGGGCAAUCGGAAUUCUUGGUGUAGCGGUGAAAUGCGUAGAUAUCAAGAGGAACACCUGAGGUGAAGACGGGUUGCUGGGCUGACACUGACGCUGAGGCGCGAAAGCCAGGGGAGCAAACGGG
rnacentral:rRNA from 1 species